UACGUAGGGGGCUAGCGUUGUCCGGAUUUACUGGGCGUAAAGGGCGCGUAGGCGGCCACCGCAAGUCGACUGUGAAAUCUCCGGCUUAACCCGGAAAGGUCAGCCGAUACUGCGGGGCUAGAGUGCAGAAGGGGCAACUGGAAUUCUCGGUGUAGCGGUGAAAUGCGUAGAUAUCGAGAGGAACACCUGCGGCGAAGGCGGGUUGCUGGGCUGACACUGACGCUGAUGUGCGAAAGCUAGGGGAGCGAACGGG
rnacentral:rRNA from 1 species